AGUGAACGCUGGCGGUAGGCCUAACACAUGCAAGUCGAACGGCAGCACAGUAAGAGCUUGCUCUUACGGGUGGCGAGUGGCGGACGGGUGAGGAAUACAUCGGAAUCUACUUUUUCGUGGGGGAUAACGUAGGGAAACUUACGCUAAUACCGCAUACGACCUACGGGUGAAAGCAGGGGAUCUUCGGACCUUGCGCGAUUGAAUGAGCCGAUGUCGGAUUAGCUAGUUGGCGGGGUAAAGGCCCACCAAGGCGACGAUCCGUAGCUGGUCUGAGAGGAUGAUCAGCCACACUGGACCUGAGACACGGUCCAGAUUCCUACGGGAGGCAGCAGUGGGAAAUAUUGGACAAGGGGCGCAAGCUUGACCCAGCCAUACCGCGUGGGUGAAGAAGGCCUUCGGGUUGUAAAGCCCUUUUGUUGGGAAAGAAAAGAAGCAGGUUAAUACCCCGCUGUUCUGACGGUACCCAAAGAAUAAGCACCGGCUAACUUCGU
rnacentral:rRNA from 1 species